rnacentral:tRNA from 1 species
AAGCAAAAGUUUUAAAACACAGAGUUUGGGACUCUGAAUUGGGCUUUAUCUCUUUGCUUC